UACGUAGGGUGCAAGCGUUGUCCGGAAUUAUUGGGCGUAAAGAGCUCGUAGGCGGUCUGUCGCGUCGGAUGUGAAAAUCCAGGGCUUAACCCUGGGCCUGCAUUCGAUACGGGCAGACUAGAGUUCGGUAGGGGAGACUGGAAUUCCUGGUGUAGCGGUGAAAUGCGCAGAUAUCAGGAGGAACACCGGUGGCGAAGGCGGGUCUCUGGGCCGACAUUGACGCUGAGGAGCGAAAGCGUGGGGAGCGAACAGG
rnacentral:rRNA from 1 species